rnacentral:rRNA from 1 species
GAUGAACGCUGGCGGCGUGCUUAACACAUGCAAGUCGAACGAUGAAGCCCAGCUUGCUGGGUGGAUUAGUGGCGAACGGGUGAGUAACACGUGAGUAACCUGCCCUUAACUCUGGGAUAAGCCUGGGAAACUGGGUCUAAUACCGGAUAGGAGCGUCCACCGCAUGGUGGGUGUUGGAAAGAUUUAUCGGUUUUGGAUGGACUCGCGGCCUAUCAGCUUGUUGGUGAGGUAAUGGCUCACCAAGGCGACGACGGGUAGCCGGCCUGAGAGGGUGACCGGCGACACUGGGACUGAGACACGGCGCAGACUCCAACGGGAGGCAGCAGUGGGGAGUAUUGCACAAUGGGAGCAAGCCUGAUGCAGCGGCGCCGCGUGAGGGAUGACGGCCUUCGGGUUGUAAACCUCUUUCAGUAGGGAAGAAGCGAAAGUGACGGUACCUGAAGAAGAAGCACCGGCUAACUACGUG